rnacentral:misc_RNA from 1 species
GAACGCACAUUGCGCCCUUUGGUAUUCCAUAGGGCAUGCCUGUUCGAGCGUCAUUUCACCCUUCAAGCUCUGCUUGGUGUUGGGCGUCUGUCCUGUUCUUUUGUAUAUGGACUCGCCCUAAAAAUAUUGGCAGCCGGUAUAGUGGCCUUGAGCGCAGCAGAAUUGCGUCUUCAAGCACUGCAUCCUGGUGUCCAUAAAGCCCAUCUUAUUAUCUUGACCUCGGAUCAGGUAGGGAUACCCGCUGAACUUAAG